UACGUAGGGGGCAAGCGUUGUCCGGAUUUAUUGGGCGUAAAGCGCUCGCAGGUGGUUCAUUGCGUCGUGCGUGAAAGACCCCGGCUCAACUGGGGAGGGUCGUGCGAAACGGGUGAACUAGAGGCCAGUAGGGGGAUGCGGAAUUCCGGGUGUAGUGGUGGAAUGCGUAGAGAUCCGGAGGAACACCAGCGGCGAAGGCGGCAUCCUGGACUGGUCCUGACGCUGAGGCGCGAAAGCGUGGGGAGCGAUCCGG
rnacentral:rRNA from 1 species